rnacentral:lncRNA from 10 species
CUCUAGAACUUUUCACUAGUGGGGAGCAACAAAACAUAUUAGAACUAACAAACUUACAAUGGACAUUUAAUAGUGGUUUUCCUUUCUAUUCUAUUUUUUAAAAUGUAAAUGGAGUAAAUGAUAAAAUGUAGACUGAAUUUAUCAUAAAGACAUUUUCUUUUGGUAUACUGCAAGGAACUAUGAACUUUUAGUAACUACUAUAAGCAACUGACAGUUCCAUCAAAGGAGGGAUCUUCCUACUGACCAGAAGACCUGAACAGCCUGAGAAUGAUUCCUUUCAACUCCGAGAGAAGAAGCUGCAGAUGAAGAGCAAGUAGGAUGGUGAAGUGCUUAAUCAGUGGCCAGGCAAUCAAUAAACACAACAGAAGGAGCCUCUCCCCAUGGCCAUCACCACCCCAGGCCUGCAGCAAGUAUUGCCUGGCUACUGCCGAUGCUCACUCAAGGCCCAAGGGCUCUUCAGUCAGCUUGUGGUGAAUGCUGCCAGACCUGGGUCUUUCUGUUCAGGAUACUGUUUACUGAAAACCCACCAAUCUGAUCUUUUAUGAGAAGCUAGUCCCUGAAAAGGCCCUUGGAUCAAAGGUCAAAAACUUGAAGCACAGAGUGGGAUGUCAGAUGCCAAGAUUUAAAUCUAGUCAUUUGAUUCCAGAGCCCACAUUCUUAAAUAAUAUGCUACACUGACCUUUAUUGUCUUUAAACAUUAUCUUUAUUUAAUGUGUUUCAUAGAAAUUACUUCUCAGGUAUUCCUAAAUUUAUUUUUAAAAAUAAUGUCAUGCUAUCACUAUAAUAUAGUUUUUUAAAUUAACUUGAGAGGUAAUGUAGUAUGAUCAACUUCCUUAAUGGCCUUUUAAACUGGAAAUAACUAUUAAAUAUUUUAAUAUUAUAAAUUAACAGGCAAAAUGGUGAAAAAUCUAACAUCUGGUUCUUAAAAGUAAGUUGAAAUAUAAGAUCAGAUUUGAAUGCACAUGGAAAAAUAGAACUGGCAAAUAAUGCCAUAUUUGAAGAUCUUUUAGUAUUCUCUGGUAUUUUUCCUUUCAUUUCAAAAUUGUUAUAUUCUUUUUAAUGACUUCAAAUGAAUUAGGAAAUGUCAGGCUUCUAAAAAUCAAACAGAACGUCCAACCAGUAGAUUUCAUUCAGGGCAGUGGGAGCCUGUUCGGUUGUUUCCUCUUUCCCCCUCACUUUUAAAAAUCCUCAAUCACUGCCAUUUCUCUUCUCAGCUUUCACAACACUUUACAGGCAGCUGAAUGAAAGGGCAGAAGCUUCCUCUGAAACUCCUGUUAUUUCAGCUCUAAAAUCAGCUGAAAAGGAUGCCCUCCCCAGAGACAGAAAUGCAUUCCCUCCAUCAUGAACCUGCAAUGCCCUCAGGUUGUGGCAAGGGAGAAGUUUAGCACUUGAACCUAGAUAACGCUAUUUUUUUAAUCAAAGUGCACCAUUCUUGUUUCAUAUGGCCUGUGGCACAAUUUAUUUAAAACAAUAUGGUGCAUCAAAGAAGGUAAACAAUAAUAACAAUAAUAAUAAUAUAGGAAUAGCAAUGUGCACAUAAAUAAUAUAGGAAAACACAUGGCCUCAGUACCUUCAUGAAAUGGGACUUCAAUAUACAUAUUUCUUAUACAGCUUUAUGCAUGACUUCAUUGCACUUCACUGCUCUGUUGUGUCACUCUACCAAUAAACCUAUACAUCAUACUGAGUGAAGUAUGUUCACAGUCCCUUUACUUGACAAAAAAAAAAAAAAAAAAAAAAAAAAGGAGCAGUGUGGUUUAGGAGAAUGACCACUGAGCUAGAAGUAUGAAGACUAGAUAGAACUUGAGUCCCAUCCCCAGCACUUUCGGGCUCCCAGAUGUUGGGUGAGUUGUGCAUCCUCUUUAAAAAUCAGUUUGCAGACCAAUGGUACAUCUCUGUCCACCUGCUAGAGUUCUUGUGGUAACUAAAUAAGGUAAUGUAUAAGAAAGCAUUCUGAGAAAAUGCUACAUGUAAAAGGGGAUUUUUUUUUUCUCAUUGUGAUUUUUUUACUAUGUUUUUACUUUACAAAUUUACAAAUGUUUACUUUUCUUGAAUUUGCUUACCAGUAAAUUAGUUCACUGCUGGCACUUCUUUGUAGUCUAUUGCUAUGGGAAGUAAUAUGUUUAUCUGAAAAUUAUGAAGAUUCCUAGAGUUUCUUUACACUUGUUAUAUUUUAGGGGCAAUAAAAAAAGUAUAUGCUUAAACUUGAA